CCUACGGGAGGCAGCAGUGAGGAAUAUUGGUCAAUGGGCGCGAGCCUGAACCAGCCAAGUCGCGUGAAGGAUGACUGCCCUACGGGUUGUAAACUUCUUUUAUAAAGGAAUAAAGUGAGGCACGUGUGCCUUUUUGUAUGUACUUUAUGAAUAAGGCACGGGGAACUCCGUGCCAGCAGACGCGGUUAUACGGAGGAUUCGAGCGUUAUCCGGAUUUAUUGGGUUUAAAGGGAGCGUAGAUGGGUUGUUAAGUCAGUUGGGAAAGUUUGCGGCUCAACCGUAAAAUUGCAAUUGAUACUGGCAGCCUUGAGUACAGGUGAGGUAGGCGGAAUUCGUGGUGUAGCGGUGAAAUGCUUAGAUAUCACGAAGAACUCCGAUUGCGAAGGCAGCCUACUAAACUGCCACUGACAUUGAGGCACGAAAGUGUGGGUAUCAAACAGGAUUAGAUACCCCGGUAGUC
rnacentral:rRNA from 1 species